CCUACGGGUGGCAGCAGUGGGGAAUAUUGCACCAUGGAGGGAACUCUGAUGCAGCGACGCCGCGUGAGUGAAGCAGGAAUUCGUUAUGUAAAGCUCUAUUAGAAGGGAAGAAAGUGACGGUACCUGAAAAAGAAGCUCCGGCGAAAUACGUGCAAGCAGCCGAGGUAAUACGUAUGGAGCCAGCGUUAUCCGGAUUUACUGGGUGUAAAGGGAGAGUAGGUGGUAGAGCAAGUCCGUAGGGAAAACCCAAAGCUCAACUAUGGGAAUGCUAUAGAAACUGGUAAGCGAGAGUGCAGGAGAGGCAAGUGGAAUUCUUAGUGUAGCGGUGAAAGGCGGAGAUAUAAGGAGGAACACCAGUGGCGAAGGCGGCUU
rnacentral:rRNA from 1 species